AUGGCUAUAACGGGCUCGAGUGGCGGCGGAGGGAGGGAAGAGGCAGAUGGGCUAGGGCUGGGGGCGCUGGCCGGCUUAAAUAGCCGGCUACGGCCUCGGGCGGCGAGCCGGAGCGGCGCCACGUGGUGGACACACCGCGACGACGGUCGAGGCGCCCGUCAGACCGCCGGGUUUUCCGGAGAGUCCGUGUGGGGCCACGCCGUCAGGCCGACGUGGCGGGCGUGCCCGGGUGCCCCAUAUUUGGGCUGGAUAUGGGUGUUUGAGGGCCGUUUCAGGAGGCCGUCUGGGAUCAAAAAAUUAUGA
rnacentral:rRNA from 1 species